rnacentral:rRNA from 1 species
UCGGGAAUUUUGGGCAAUGGGCGAAAGCCUGACCCAGCAACGCCGCGUGAAGGAUGAAGUAUUUCGGUAUGUAAACUUCGUAAGAAUAGGAAGAAUAAAUGACGGUACUAUUUGUAAGGUCCGGCUAACUACGUGCCAGCAGCCGCGGUAAUACGUAGGGACCAAGCGUUGUUCGGAUUUACUGGGCGUAAAGGGCGCGUAGGCGGUGUGUCAAGUCAGUUGUGAAAUCUCCGAGCUUAACUCGGAACGGUCAACUGAUACUGUCACACUAGAGUACAGAAGGGGCAAUCGGAAUUCUUGGUGUAGCGGUGAAAUGCGUAGAUAUCAAGAGGAACACCUGAGGCGAAGGCGGGUUGCUGGGCUGAUACUGACGCUGAGGCGCGAAAGCUAGGGUAGCAAACGGGAUUAGAUACCCUUGUAGUCCCUGAGCGGGC